GAUAAAUCCGCGGUCACACUGAUCUCAAUUGCGGAACAUAAGGCCGUUUUGAAGCCCAACUGUGGCCCACAACUCCGCCCUGCCUCAGCCAGACCACCAGAUCGGCCAGGUGGAUCUUAGCCGACCAGAUCUUAGCCCGAAUCUGAAGAAAACCAAGCUGGAUGAGGCCUCGACGGCGGGGUUGAUGCAAGCACAUAAACGGAUCAGGGCGUGGUGUCUAUGAUGAGCUUCCAUCUGCGUCGCAAAAAGGGACUGGAACAAACCCUGGCGGCCAAGCUUACACCAGAGGAGUACGUCAAGGAGACUCAUGCCGUGCCCGGGCUGCCGGAGCUGCUGGAUCCUGCAUUCUCAACAAGACACGUCUGGACAGAUUAUGCGCCACUACGGCAGUGCAAGGGCAUCCGCCAGUUGCAGGCUUUGUACGUGUCCCACCUGCACGCGGAUCAUCACAUUGGAUUGAUUGGACUGCUGAAGGAGCGCAGACAGCUGGCCCCGAAGGAAACUCGCUGCUCUUACUUGCGCCGCGGCUCUUGGCGAGACUCCUGACUGCAGAGGCAGUGGCACCAUUGGGCAUAACUGCCGCCACUGCCAAGUCACCAGUAGGAACUGCCAAGCCGCCAGUACGAACAGCUGCUUAAAAUCUUGCGAGACGCUUGGCGAUGCUGUGGAUGAUCAAGUUCAGCCCAACAAUCAACAGUUGCGGAAUGAGAGGAGCAGCAGCAGGACAAGAAGGAUGCCGAUCAGGAUUUCUACUAAAACCAGGACAGUUCGGCUAACUCGUCGCAGUCCUCGGUGGGCAUUGAUGACUAUUGGGAUGAGGCUCUGGUCGGCGACUAUGGAAGCACUCAGAAUGAUGACAGCGAUGACUUGGAUGGUCACAACAACUAGCCGCCUAUCGAUGGGCAGCAAGGAAAAGAACCCGGCCGUAACGAGUUGCGUUACUAUUGGCGAUCAAGAGAUCAUAGACUGCAAAGAACAAUUCGACAAGCAGCGGCAGGCAACAUUACUUGGGCCGAGCAGGGCAGUAAAUGUAAAAGUUGUUCUGCACUAUCUUAAAAGCGUGCUCCGGCGGUCUUAAGCCUUCUGCACCAUGUUUUACAUCAUCGGUUUCGACCGGGAGCGCAGACAACUGGCUCCAAAGGAAACUCGCUGCUCAUACUUGCACCGCGGCAGAUUGAGCCAUGGAUGGAGUUCUAACACGGAUAGCUCUUGGCGAGACUCCUGACUGGAGAGGCAGUAACUUUGGGCAUAACUGCCGCCACUACCAAGUCACCAGUACGAACUGCCAAGCCGCCAGUACGAACAGCUGCUUAAAAUCUUGCGAGGCGUUUGGCGAUGCUGUGGAUGAUCGAGUUCAGCCCAACAAUCAACCGUUGCGGAAUGAGAGGAGCAGCAGCAAGGUAAGAAGGAUGCCGAUCAGGAUUUUUACUAAAACCAGGAGAGUUCGGCUAACUCGUCGCAGUCCUCGGUGGGCAUUGAUGACUAUUGGGAUGAAGCUCUGGUCGGCGACUAUGGAAGCACUCAGAAUGAUGACAGCGAUGACUUGGACGGGCACAACAACUAGCCACCUAUCGAUGGGCAGCAAGGAAAAGAACCCGGCCGCAACGAGUUGCGUUACUAUUGGCGAUCAUGAGGUCAUGGACUGCAAAGAACAAUUCGACAAGCAGCAACAUUACUUGGGCCGAGCAGGGCAGUAAAUGUAAAAGUUGUACAGCACUAUCUUAAAAGCGUGCUCCGGCGGUCUUAAGCCUUCUGCACCAUGUUUUACAUCAUCGGUUUCGACCGGAUCCAAUGGCCUAAAAAGUGCUAUAGAGCGAUCCUCUCUUCUUACCCCACCAGGAGGUCACCCCCUCCGGUGGCCAUGAAUACCUCUUGCAUGCCCGUGGAUACCGAAUUACCCACCAUCGUUUAACUGCGGCUUCACACUUCAGGUCCUCCGGUUUAGCUGAACGAGUGGGCGCUCGAUGACGGCUGUCCACUCCAGGCGCCUACCGGCUGACAUCGCGAGCUCCCCACCGGCUCUUGGGACAUGACUUACAUCGCGCGAGCUGUGGCCUCUAGCCUGGACGACCUUUGGGUCCUCUCGGGAUGUGUAAGGGAUGUGCUCCUGGCUGGACUGUGGCAGGCACUGUCUGUCCUCCUGCGGGCCAAAGCCAUGAUGCCACUACUGUGUCGCUGAAUCGACAAUGUGGCGUCCCGUCCGCUGCAGCAGGGACCACUGAUCGACGGCAGAAUUGUGGGUUCACGCCCACGGUAAUCAAACGCUGGUCUUCAGCCUCGAGGCGCAGGGCUUAUGUACCAUAUCCAAGCAUUGCCGAAUCGUAUCCCAGCAGGACAAAAGCGCACCCCUUGGAAGAGCCCAAAUCUAACAAGCCGACGUCACAUUUCGACCUGGCCAUUGAAAACUAUCUCAAGGACUUUGGCUAUGGCAACCAAGGGAGGGAUACGCGGACUACCAGACUAUAGAUAGAUCUCGUUGUUAAUAGGUUUAAGGAUACACACGUCUGUACAUUUAGAUAGUAGAUAUAAAUAUUUCCAAAUUGUUAAUUUCUUUAUAGUAAGUUAACGUUAUUAUGAAUAAAACUAUUGAAAAAUUA